UGGCUGUGUCUCUAAAGAAGCCCUUGGUGAUC
rnacentral:piRNA from 1 species